rnacentral:lncRNA from 1 species
AAAAAUUUGCAUUUUAAAUUUCUAAUUAUGGAGUCAGCUAAAGUUAUAACCAAAUGGGUGCAAUUGUCACUCAAAGUUCCUUACAUAUUAUUCAGACAGCAAAAUCUGUGUAGAUAGAAGCCAGUAAACUAGUGUUUCCCAAACUUUGCUUUAUGGAACUCAUUCCACAAGCUGUUCCAAAAGUUGCUUUGGGGAAUAGGGGUUUGGAGGUGGGGGGAGGAAGCAAAAUGCUAUAGUUAAUUUUCAGAAAGUUCACUUUGGGCAAUACCAUGUUAAUCCAAUUAUAAUAGUUAUCUACUGCAAGACUUUUCACAUUCUGAAAUAUGAAAAUGUGCAUGAGGGUUUUCAGGCCUGGAAAUAGUAUGUAAUGUCUCCUAAUCUUUUUGACUGUGUAUGUGUGUAUGUGUAUAAAGUACUUGUUAAUAGUUCCAAAGAAUGUCAUUUGGAAGAUUCUGGAGAUUUUGAAGAAAUUCUAUGGAGUUGAUAAGGAAAAUUUCUUCUGUUUUUCUAAGUCAAUCCACCAAUCCUGUGGUCCCUCUGUACUUAAAGCACCACAAGGAGCAACGGAAUCUCUACCCUCGAGGAGUCUUAAUUGAGAGUGGAUCAUGUCAUUCUUUCCUGAGGCCCAGGAGGGGUGAGUUGUCCUGUGUGCUGUGCAGGGGCGGGGCGCCGCCCCUGCUGAAGCUGGUGCGUUCCAUUGGACAAUGUGGCCUUUUCUGCUCGACUCUCACUGGGCAUGUACAGUGAGAUGUGGGUGCGGCUGACCAUCCAUUGCAACAAUUCCCAAGCUUCCAGA